CCUACGGGAGGCAGCAGUGGGGAAUUGUUCGCAAUGGGCGCAAGCCUGACGACGCAACGCCGCGUGGAGGAUGAAGACCUUCGGGUCGUAAACUCCUUUCGAUCGAGACGAAUGUUUUCCGGGUGAACAAUCCGGAAAAGUGACGGUACCGAGAGAAGAAGCCCCGGCUAACUCUGUGCCAGCAGCCGCGGUAAUACAGGGGGGGCAAGCGUUGUUCGGAAUUACUGGGCGUAAAGGGCUUGUAGGUGGCCAACUAAGUCAGACGUGAAAUCCCUCAGCUUAACUGGGGAACUGCGUCUGAUACUGGAUGGCUUGAGUUUGGGAGAGGGAUGCGGAAUUCCAGGUGUAGCGGUGAAAUGCGUAGAUAUCUGGAGGAACACCGGUGGCGAAGGCGGCAUCCUGGACCAACACUGACACUGAGGAGCGAAAGCCAGGGGAGCAAACGGGAUUAGAUACCCCGGUAGUCCUGGCCCUAAACGAUGAAUGCUUGGUGUGGCGGGUAUCGAUCCUGCCGUGCCGAAGCUAACGCAUUAAGCAUUCCGCCUGGGGAGUACGGUCGCAAGGCUGAAACUUCAAAGGAAUUGACGG
rnacentral:rRNA from 1 species